GACCAAAUUAUGAUGGUUUGGAUCAAUUUGUAAGAGUUAUAUAUUUGGAAACUGCUAAUUAUUAGCAUAAAGAACUUUAUUGUAAGUGUUAUAAUAUAAUUAGGUCUGAUUAAAUUAUGGAUCAAAUCUUAAUUAAUUUAAAUUAGAUUUAAUUUAAUUAGAUUUGAUCUAAUUUAAGAUUAAUUAAAUUUAAUUAUCCAAGUAGGAUUUGGAUUACAAUCCUAAUUAGAUCAGGGUUGACAAUCUUUUUGAAUUAGAUUUGAAUCGAGCUCAAAUUGGAUUCAGUUUGAAUCCAAAUUG
rnacentral:lncRNA from 1 species